GAAAUGCGAUACGUAAUGUGAAUUGCAGAUUCGUGACUCAUCGAAAUUUUGAACGCAUAUUGCACUUGAUGGUAUUCCGUCAAGUAUGCUUGUUUGAGUGUCUGUGCAUUUCUCUUUCAACAAUGACUGAUUGUUGUUAAUGAAGUUGAAACAGUGGAGAAAGACCCAGUUUCAAUGAUUUGACUAUAACAGUGGUUGAUUGUUGAAGACAUUGAUCCCUGUUCUCUUUUUGUAAAAAGAGAGAGAGAGCAUUGAUUUAAAUGCAAGUGUGACCAUAAUUAAACUCUAGAGUUUAAUACGAAUGGUACCAAUUCACGUUGAUGAAGAUGUCUCUCUUGAGGCUUUUCUUGAUUCGAGUUGGGCACUGUUUCAUAUUAAUCUGUGUGUUUAAUUAUAAACGAUCACAAAGAAACACGCGUGUACGUGUGUGUGUGUGUGUGUGUGUUUCUUGCAACUAUCAUGUGCCAAUUUGGACCUCAAAUCAAGCAAGGCUACCCGCUGAACUUAAGC
rnacentral:misc_RNA from 1 species